UACAGAGGGGGCAAGCGUUAUUCGGAAUUAUUGGGCGUAAAGGGCGCGUAGGCGGUUUGGCAAGUGGAAGGUGAAAUCCCUCGGCUUAACCGAGGAACUGCCCUCCAAACUGCUUCGCUUGAGGCCGGGAGAGGUGAGUGGAAUUCCCAGUGUAGCGGUGAAAUGCGUAGAUAUUGGGAGGAACACCAGUGGCGAAGGCGGCUCACUGGACCGGUACUGACGCUGAGGCGCGAAAGCCAGGGGAGCAAACGGG
rnacentral:rRNA from 1 species